CGACCAGACUCCUACGGGAGGCAGCAGUGGGGAAUAUUGCACAAUGGGCGAAAGCCUGAUGCAGCAACGCCGCGUGAAGGAAGAAGGGUUUCGGCUCGGAAACUUCUAUCAACAGGGACGAAGAUGACGGUACCUGGGGAGGAAGCUCCGGCUAACUACGUGCCAGCAGCCGCGGUAAUACGUAGGGAGCGAGCGUUGUCCGGAAUUACUGGGUGUAAAGGGAGCGUAGGCGGGACUGCAAGUUGGGUGUCAAAUCUACCGGCUCAACCGGUAGCCGCACUCAAAACUGCAGUUCUUGAGUGAAGUAGAGGCAGGCGGAAUUCCUAGUGUAGCGGUGAAAUGCGUAGAUAUUAGGAGGAACACCAGUGGCGAAGGCGGCCUGCUGGGCUUUUACUGACGCUGAGGCUCGAAAGUGUGGGGAGCAAACAGGAUUAGAUACCCGGGUACAC
rnacentral:rRNA from 1 species